AAUCAACCCAGGGGACGCAUGUAUCGCUGCAGUGUGGGCAGUAUCAGAGGGAAAUAGAUAGGAUGACAUCUGCCCACAGUACAGUAGGUGGCGGUAAUGCAUUAUAACUUUGGAGGCCAACCGCCGAUAAACCCCACCGAAGAAGAAGACGAAUCAAAACCCAGAAGGGAAAUGUAAGGGACCUUUGAAGAAGGCCCCAGCCUCUGUCUCCAGCAUUCCCGAACUCUUACACUUGACUGGCUUCUUGGAACAGAGCAGCUUUAAAGAGCCAUGGUGGCCUAAAGAGACCGAACAAGCCCAUAGAAGGACGAUACCUAAUUAGCAGGGUUGAAUGGCCACGGUGACACUGUGAAUACAACUGUUUAACUGAAUACAUCAUCACCAUUCUGAGUGCUGCCCUCUCCCCAGACAGAGAGACAAUAGCACAUUGUUUAACAAACUAGCACUUAUUAUGCUAUUGUUGUCUGUGUUCCAGACCAUGUCAUCACUAUUGUCUGUGUUCUAAUCCCGUCAUCACUAUUGUUGUCUGUAUUCCAAAUCCCGUCAUCACUAUUGUUGUCUGUAUUCCAAAUCCCGUCAUCACUAUUGUUGUCUGUAUUCCAAAUCCCGUCAUCACUAUUGUUGUCUGUAUUCCAAAUCCCGUCAUCACUAUUGUUGUCUGUAUUCCAAAUCCCGUCAUCACUAUUGUUGUCUGUAUUCCAAAUCCUGUCAUCACUAUUGUUGUCUGUAUUCCAAAUCCUGUCAUCACUAUUGUUGUCUGUAUUCCAAAUCCUGUCAUCACUAUUGCUGGUCUUUGGUGAAAAUAAAUCAGUGUAAAAGAUGCAUAAGCUGAUUAAAAUUAU